GUGCUCACUUCGGCAGCACAUAUACUAAAAUUCGAACGAUACAGAGAUUAGCAUGGCCCCUGCACAAGGAUGGCACACAAAUUCGUGAAGCAUUCCAUAUUUUU
rnacentral:snRNA from 1 species